rnacentral:lncRNA from 1 species
CGUCUACAAGAGGUUGUCCUGUUGUUCUUGUGGAAAUUAAGAGAUUUGAGACAUUGGUUUGCUUAAGUGAAAGUUUAAGAAUCUCCACAAUGUUCUGAUCGAUUUGUCUCCUAUGAUUCAUUUCUUCAAACAGCUUCUUCUCAAGUGCUUGUCUUUCAGGUGACUCCAUUGGAGAUCUUUGAAUCUGAGAGAUAGAUAGUGAAACAUCAAAAACAUAUAUAUGUUUAUUAUUCAAUCUUGAAAGAUGAGACUUCACCUUGCUCUUGAGAUAUAACAAAGGGAUAUCGCGAGUAUUGACCGAGCUUGAAUUAGAGAUUGGUGAAGCAGUGAAUCCAGCAGAAGUGAAGUUUUCGUUUUCAGGAUUGGUUCCAAUGUAAGAGACAAGAUAGUCUUUAAGAAGCGCCUUUGAUCCGAAACGGCUUACAUGAGAACUCGUCCCUGGUUCAGCAUCAGGACCUGUUCUUCUCUUUACAGCUUGGUAUUGCUGCUUCAAUGUCUCUUUACUCAUGUCAUGAAGCUCACUGUUCCCCCCCCAAAAAACACAAAACAGAGAAGUGUUUCUCAAAGUCUUGAAGAACAAUCAAAUCAUUUGAUAUUACAUACAGAUUUGAGUCUUUUUUUGGGUUGAAGUACCUGUCCUCAAGCCAAGAGACGCUAAAUGUAUCGCCGAGACAAACACCAUUAUAUUCAGGAGGAGGAGGAGGAUAUUCACCAGGACAGUAGAUUCCAAAACUGCUCUCUGUCGCAUUAGAAGCAGUUACUGCAAGUAUGUUUAGACUGGUCUUUAAAAUCCCUUCAAACAUACUUCCAGACUCACAUGCUUCAACAUAAAUCACCUAAACAUCACACACACACAGAAAACAACUCAAAGAUUCAAGAACAGAACACUAUAUAUAUAAAAAGAUGCUCGAACACACUAGAAAGGAUGUUUCUAGUUGGGGUUGAACCAACUCUCAGGCCAAGAGAGAGAGAUGACGAUGAAUGAGUUGAGUUAUUAGUACCAUCUUCUUGUAUCUUUUAAGCUUAUGCAUCUUCUCCAAGACUUUAAUGAAAUCUUUUGCAUGGAUAUCUUCACCAUCUGGCAUCGCUGAGAAUAAUAAACAUUGACCAAGAAAUCCUGAGAGAUAGAUAGUGAAACAUCAAAAACAUAUAUAUGUUUAUUAUUCAAUCUUGAAAGAUGAGACUUCACCUUGCUCUUGAGAUAUAACAAAGGGAUAUCGCGAGUAUUGACCGAGCUUGAAUUAGAGAUUGGUGAAGCAGUGAAUCCAGCAGAAGUGAAGUUUUCGUUUUCAGGAUUGGUUCCAAUGUAAGAGACAAGAUAGUCUUUAAGAAGCGCCUUUGAUCCGAAACGGCUUACAUGAGAACUCGUCCCUGGUUCAGCAUCAGGACCUGUUCUUCUCUUUACAGCUUGGUAUUGCUGCUUCAAUGUCUCUUUACUCAUGUCAUGAAGCUCACUGUUCCCCCCCCAAAAAACACAAAACAGAGAAGUGUUUCUCAAAGUCUUGAAGAACAAUCAAAUCAUUUGAUAUUACAUACAGAUUUGAGUCUUUUUUUGGGUUGAAGUACCUGUCCUCAAGCCAAGAGACGCUAAAUGUAUCGCCGAGACAAACACCAUUAUAUUCAGGAGGAGGAGGAGGAUAUUCACCAGGACAGUAGAUUCCAAAACUGCUCUCUGUCGCAUUAGAAGCAGUUACUGCAAGUAUGUUUAGACUGGUCUUUAAAAUCCCUUCAAACAUACUUCCAGACUCACAUGCUUCAACAUAAAUCACCUAAACAUCACACACACACAGAAAACAACUCAAAGAUUCAAGAACAGAACACUAUAUAUAUAAAAAGAUGCUCGAACACACUAGAAAGGAUGUUUCUAGUUGGGGUUGAACCAACUCUCAGGCCAAGAGAGAGAGAUGACGAUGAAUGAGUUGAGUUAUUAGUACCAUCUUCUUGUAUCUUUUAAGCUUAUGCAUCUUCUCCAAGACUUUAAUGAAAUCUUUUGCAUGGAUAUCUUCACCAUCUGGCAUCGCUGAGAAUAAUAAACAUUGACCAAGAAAUCGCCGAUUAGUAUAAUCAUGAGAAACAUCUAAAUGCUAGAUGUAGAUUGGUGGUAAAAUAAUACAUAGUAAACCAGGAGCUCCAUGGUCAGCAUAGUAGAUGAAUAUACUAUCAUUAGGACCACUUUUCACAACUUUGCCACUUCCUCCUGUGAUGCCACUUUCGUUUCCAAGUAUCACAUUAUAAAAGUUCUUCACAUUAACAGCCUCUUUAGUGUAGUCCUAUAUCAACCAACAAAAUCUAAAUAUGUUGAUUCAUUUAUAAAGUGCCCAAAAGUGAUGAGAAAAUAAUAACCUUAGGAACGCCUUCAUAAACAUCUCCACCAUCAGGUCUAUUGAUGAUAACUCCAGGCCUGGGAUUCUCAGGGUUAAACGCGAUAUCAUCAUACAUAAACACUAUAAUGUUUUCAUCUUUUAGACCCCCUUUUCGCAGAACUUGAUAUGCAUGGCAUAUGUCAGCCUGUGAAGCAAAACAACAGUAGAUUUAGUUCAUAGAAUCUCUUCAGGACCACCUUUUCUUCUUAUGGUUAGAACUUUUGAUGUAAAUCUCAUCUCAUCGCUGCAACAAUUUCAUAUCAAGAAAAAAAAACACUUUCAUGGAGGCUUAAACAUCACCACCAUCAGGUAACUCUUUAACUCUUAGCUUCAGCCUAAGUUUUUGUGUUCUUUCACAAGUUAUGCAAGGAGCUAGUUUUAAAUGAAUAAAGAAGGAUAAAGUGAAGUUUCUGUUUAUUAGAAUUUUGAUCCUCGGUUAUAUAUGGGACUUUUACUCUUUGUAACGAGGUUGAUGAACGAGUCCAGUACUUUUAAAAAGAUGAUCCUUGUAAGUUCUUGCUGAUGGUUGUUUGGGUUGACUAAACUUUUUUAGCUUGUGAAAUGGUAGAAUCGUGUCUGAAAUUUUUCGAUCCUUGAUUGUCGAUUACACAUAGACUCAAAAAUAAACGUUGAUCAUUGAAAGUUUGGGAUCAAGUUCUCAGCUUUUUGAUUCUCUUAUGGACUAAGGUUUUAGCUUUACCCUUUUUGGGUUAGGUAGUAUUAUUAUUAUGUAAUCAAUCACCUUGUCUGAAAAUUUUGAAUUUGUUUUGGUUGAUGUAUAGAAAGUAUGACGACGCAGAGCGCUAUGAGGAUGGUGGAAGGUGAUCAUGUAAAAAGUUGGCAGGCUUCCUCUAGGGAUCCCACUGGGAUAUUUGGUUCACAUGAUAUGGCUGUUGAAGAUUUAAGGUUCCUUAUGGAAAGAAAUAGAUUGGAUAGUAGUGGAAGUGAUCAUACAGGUAAGAUCCCUAGUAGGAGUGGAAGCGCGCCGCCUAGCAUGGAAGGUUCAUUUGCAGCUCUUAGGAAUCUCUUGAAACAUCAGGAAGGUAGUUUUAGUAGGUCUAUUGAGAAUUAUGGCUCUGAAGAAGAGAUACGUAGCGAUCCUGGUUAUGUAGCUUACUAUUUGUCCAACAUCAACCUGAACCCGAGGCUCCCUCCUCCGUUGAUCUCACGUGAGAAUCAGCACUUGCUGCGUCAUUUGGGUGGUGAGGGUAAUAACCUGAGUCCAACAGCGUCUUGGGAUGAUAUGGGGAUAAGAUCUUCCUUGCUUGCUUCUAGAACUGCGCUUUCUACACAUAGAGAGGAGCCUGAGGACGAGGCUUCUUCUGGUGAGCAACUGACUUAUGCUUCUUUGCCUGGUCGUCGUAAGAGCUUUGCUGAUAUCAUUCAGGUACUGCUUGAUUCUAUCACUUGUUUCUAAAAAUAUUAAGGAAGAUUCUCUCUUUUAACACUUUCUUUUGUGUUCAAGCGGCCUCAUUCGGCAGGGAACCAUCCAAUAGCAGAAGACAUCCAUGCCAUUUCUUCUGGUAUAGCUUCAGAAAGGACAAGAAGGUUACCAGAGUCUGAUGUAAGUUCGGUGAAUCUUCUGAGGGAGACAGAUUCUCUCUCCAUGGAGGCUAUUGCUAGUGAAGAUCCUUUUACCUCUGAGUUGAGCUCACAAAGUUCAACCAACACGCAGAAUGAGAGAUCAAAUGCGAGGGUAGGGAGCCGCGAGGACAACAAUCUAUCUGCUUUUGGUGCUUCUGGUCCAUCCUCUGCUGCUUCUAGAAUGAGGGGGAACCAAGAAGAGCCAAGGAGAAUGCCUGUGCAAUACACACCUUCAUCAUACCAGGUUCAAGCUACUUCGCCUCAACAAAUGACCUAUCCGAGGAUGGGUGGUGGUACACACGACAUGAUGCAGAACUUGCCAAGGAUUGCAACUGGAGAGGUACAUUCGACUUUCCAAUCUCCUCACGGUUUGACAUCGCCUCCUAUGUAUACAUCUACAGCUGCAUACAUGACAUCUCUGAGCCCGUUUUACAAUCAUCAUAACUUUCAGUCCUCUGGCAUGUACCUCCCUCAGUAUAAUUACGGCGGUUACCCUCCUGUCUCUGGCGUUGUCCCUCAGUAUAUGAGUGGAUACCCAUCUCAUGAAGCUACCGUUCCUAUGCCAUAUGAUAUCUCAUCGCCUUCUUCGGGCUACAACAACUCCUUCUCUCGUGGAUCCUUUUCACCUACUGCACAGAACACUCCUCUAGUGGAUCCUUUUCAGUUGCAAUAUUAUCAACAGGCUCAAGCAGAGGCAUAUGCUCCUUCAUUUGAUUCGUUCGGGAAGCAAGACCAACAAGCUGCUGGCUUUAUGGCGGCCAAUCAAGAACCUCACAGCAAUCCAUUGAGUCCAAGUUUUGGGUUGCAAAGUCCACGGCACAUGGGAAACUACUUUGCAGUGCCUCCGGGUGUGAGAGUCAUGCAGCAGUAUCCAGGAUCACCUCUUGCUAGUCCAGUGAUGCCAUCCUCACCUGUUGGUGGUGGGAUGAUGAGCCAAUUUGGAAGACGAAGUGAAACAAGGUAUCAUCAUCAACAAGGACCUAGUAGAAACACAGGGAUCUACCCUGGUGGUGGAUGGCAAGGGAACAGAGGAGGAGCCAGCAGCAGUGUUGUUGAUGAUUUUAAAAGACAUUCUUUUCUUGAUGAACUCAAGUCUCCAAAUGCUCGUAAAAUGGAGCUGUCUGAUAUCACAGGGCGUGUUAUUGAGUUCAGGUAGUGUUUCUAUCGUUUUCUUUAAUUCUGAGUUAGUAUUUUGAAAGCAUCAAAAGAUAAUAUCAUUUUGCUACUCGUUUUUUUUCUUGACUUCAGCGUUGAUCAGCAUGGAAGCCGGUUUAUUCAACAGAAGUUGGAGCACUGCUCUGAUGAGGAGAAGGCAUCUGUUUUCAGUGAGGUUCUUCCACAAGCUUCGAAAUUGAUGACUGAUGUCUUUGGAAAUUAUGUUAUCCAAAAGGUGAGCCACUUUUUCUUUUAUAUUGGAAAGUUUAUUUUUCUCCAUUAUAAGUUUGUUGAUAGAUAGUGAUGUGUGGAUCAGUUCAUAGAACAUGGAACUCCAGCGCAGAGGGAAGAGCUUGUGAAGCAACUUGCUGGUCAGAUGGUUUCUCUAAGUUUGCAGAUGUAUGGAUGUCGUGUGAUACAAAAGGUAAAUAAGUAAUAUUAGUUUCCCUAUAUCAAUGCAGUAUCUGAAGUAAAUGGUUGUUAAAUUGAUAGGCCCUUGAAGUGAUAGAUGUUGACCAAAAGACAGAACUGACUCGUGAGCUAGAUGGGAAUGUGCUGAAGUGUGUUAGAGACCAAAACGGAAAUCAUGUUAUUCAAAAGUGUAUAGAGAGUAUGCCUGCUUCUAGGAUUGGAUUCAUAAUUUCAGCUUUCCGUGGUCAAGUUGCCACUCUUUCUACUCAUCCUUAUGGAUGCCGAGUCAUCCAGGUAAAUGGAUUUAGUGUGAGGCUUUCUUGUGUGGUUGUGACUUGAAAUAUUCACUCUUUCUCCUUCCUAUAGAGAAUCUUGGAGCAUUGCUCAGAUGAUGAGGAGACUCGUUGUAUAAUCGAUGAAAUCUUGGAGUCUGCUUUUGCUCUUGCUCAUGAUCAAUAUGGGAACUAUGUCACUCAGGUAUGAUUUUUCUCUGAUCAGUGUCUCCCUUGUAUCUCAUUGUGUUCUUAGUCUUUGGUUUCGUGUCUUUAUAGCAUGUCCUGGAGAGAGGGAGGCCCGACGAAAGGAGACAGAUCAUUGAGAAGUUGACAGGGAACGUUGUUCAGAUGAGUCAGCACAAAUACGCGUCCAACGUUGUGGAGAAGUGUCUGGAACAUGCUGAUAGUACCGAGAGAGAGUUACUGAUUGAAGAGAUAAUGGGAAAAUCGGAGGAAGACAAUCACUUGCUGGUAAGAACACAACCGUAAAAAAAAAAAAACUCUCUGGAACCACUUUGGACUUUAUUUAACAUUCUAUUUUUCUUCCCCAGGCGAUGAUGAAAGAUCAGUAUGCAAAUUAUGUGGUCCAGAAAGUAUUGGAGAUCAGUAAAGAUGAGCAAAGGGAGAUCCUGGUACAGAGAAUGAAAAUUCAUCUCGAGAGUUUGAGGAAGUACACAUAUGGAAAACACAUAGUAGCCCGAUUCGAACAACUGUUUGGUGAAGGUAUUUGCUUUCUCUAACACCAAAACCUUAUAGCAAGUUUGUGGUCUAAAGUUCUGAACUGUUUGAUGUGUCAAUGUUGCAGAGAGUGAAGCUUCGGAAGGAGGAGCAGAAGGUUAGACAAGAGGUUUCAUUUGGGUUGCAGAUAAAGGACAAUGUUGGGGUUGUUAGAAGAAUAAAUAUAUAUAUUUGAAAAUGCUUUAUGUAUAUAUGUGCUUGUAACUAUGAAUGGAAGUGUGUGAUGGUUUGUGUAUAUGAUGUGUGGACAUAAUUUGUGGUUAUUGAUUUGCUCUUUUCUUCUGACUGAGAACAACAUAGAGUAGAGGAUAGUUUAACCUUAACAAAAAAAAAAGAAUUCAUAAUUUGUGGUUAUUGAUUUGCUCUUUUCUUCUGACUGAGAAAGAACAACAUAGAGGAUAGUUUAGCCUUAACAGAAAAAAAGAAUUCAGCUUCUUACUACUCAUGGGAAUCAAAACACUCCCUAAGUGCCAAAAAAACAUCUCAUGUGGCAAAGCCAAGCCACCUCAUUCAUAAAUUAAGAAAUGUGAUGAAGCGGCUUAACUUCAAGUAACAACAAUGGUAAUCUAAAAGUUUCAGUUUCGUCAUUAUAUGAGUGGUUUGGUGUUGGAGGCGAGCAAAAUAUCUUUCCAGGCUUCGUAGAAGACCCAAGUGAUGCCUGAAGACGGCAUGACUUUCAAACAACUUGCUCCCCAACCUCUGUAGAGUCCCAUCACUCCUCUUUCCUUCACUACUUCUGCUAUUGCCGCUGCCAUGUUCGGUGGACAUUCCCCCUUCAGAGCUCCCACCAUCAACCGCUUCCUCGCCACUUCCAAGGGGAAGCUAAUGGUGCUAGCCGUUAGACCUGACACAACAUUCACAAUCCAAUGAGUCGAGAGAAACCAAAAGAAACUUUUGUUUUAUUCAUUUACCGGCUAGAGCUCCGAGAAGAAGCAUCUCAGGACGGCUUAAAGCCUUCUUGUUCUUGGAUUUGCAGUAAGUGGUUUUCAUAGUGUCAUACAUGAAGUAAUAACAUGUGCUGUACGGAAGCAUCCCGACCAGUGUUGGCCCCAAGCCAGCGUAGAAUCCACGGAUUCCAUCGUCUCUUAGAAUCCUUGGAACUGCGAGUCUUAAGCUUGGAUAAAUCUCAGGGCUCACAGUCAAUCUAUCCUGGUAAAAGAUCAUAAAAAAAUCAGUCUCUUAUAACAACAACGAGAAAAGCUUUUACAUGAUUGCAGUGGAUUUUGAUCGAACCUUGAGGACUUCGAGAGGAUGGCAGACGAGUGUACUGGCAACACCUGCAGCUGCACCAGCAACAGCAACGGGAGAGAGCCAGGAGAUGGAUGGACUGAAACUAAAGUCAGCAAUCUCAAUCUUUGCCUGCUCAAUCUUCUUCAGCUUCUCUUGCGCUGAUGUCAUGACACGCUUUACACACUCAAAAGUGCUCAACUCAAUGGCUUGGGUUGGGAUGAUACGAAUCAUGUUGAUCUCGUUGCCAGCCCAAAGACCCACCCACCCUUGCUUCUGUAUGAUUUCCACAAAGCUACCUGGAAUGGUUCUGGAUCCAACACCAACAAUCAUCCUUGUCCUGCCAGGUUCCACAGAGCAACAAAGCAGUUAAGACAAAAAGUUCAUUGAGGAGAUAACAAGGUGUGGAGUAAUGCAGACCUUAUUGUUUCAAGUGGAGCAAGAACAGCUUUAGUCAUAGCUCCGGCUAAAGCCCCACUCAGAAACUCACGAGCUUCCCGAGACUUGAAGAAAUCCUGAAUCAAACAACAGAGAGAAACAUCAUAUCAUACAUUGGUUUCCCCAUCAGACAACAAAACAACACAAGACUCAAAAGCGAAGCAAGAGGAAACAAAAAGGAACUGACUUUAACAGGAAUGGUAAAGUCAGGAAACUGAGGCUGGAGAGGAAGAGGAGACUCCGAUGGAGCAGAGGAAACAGAGUCCUUCACCAUAGCAACGAACCCUUCUUUCGGUACAGCCAUUGUCAUUAUCUCUCUCUCUAUCUGACUCCUGAUUAAUCUGUCUUUCGAGGAGAUUCAAAAAAGGGACAAAAGAUAGAAUAUGCAGUUAAAACAUAACUAUAAAAAGAAGAAAUCUUUUUUCAGAUUGAGAAGAGAUCUAAAAGAGUUUUGUUUGAGGAUGAGACAGAGAUAGUCUCUGUGAACAUGCUGCUGCAAGUGAAGAUUUUAUGGGAAAGAAUUAACCUUUUUAGGGUUUAUGUGGGGUGCUCAUUUCUCCAACAAAUAUCUUUUGUUUUGUUUGUAAGCUGUAACCGGUUAAAUACGGUUUAUCAGCCGGUUCGGUCCAACCUUUUAGAAUACGGUUUUGUAAAAAUUGUUAAUCGAGACGGUGAAGUGAGGAGCCGCCGAGUCUUAUCCGAUCAAAUUACUCUCUCACUCGCAAUCAAAGCUCGACGAAGAUGUCUUGCUUGGUCGUCUCAUCAACUUGCUCGCUCCUCCCCUUCGACUCUCGUUCAACUCGUUCCAGCAAACUCGGCUCUUCACUUUCAUGGCAAUCUUCAUUUCCCAAAUUCUCCAUAGAUAUCGGCUCUGUUAUCUCCUCUCCCAUUGUCAAGAAGGUAAAAAGCCUUCUCAUUGAGUUGUCUGUACAGAGAAUCACUAGCUAUAGUUUCAUAACUUUGUAUGUUUGAGCUUGUUCUGUAAUUUCUGGUUUUGAAGUCAGAUUCUCUCUUCAAAGUUCAUUGCUUUUUUUCUGUAGGGUAUGUAAAAAUUCAUUCAAAGUUUCAUAAUUGAUCUUAGCUUGGUUUUGCUUUGUGAUGUUCUUGAUUUUGUAGCUUAGUGUGUGUUCUUGUUGCAUGUUUGAACUCGUUCUGUAAUUUCUGGGUUUGAAGUCAGAAUCUAGGGUUCUGUUUGAUUCUCUUCAAAUUUCAUUACUUUAUCUAUAGGGUAUGUAAGAUUUCAUUCAAAGUUUCUUUCUUUAUCUAUUUAAGGUUUGUUUUGAUGGGUUGUUUAGGAUUCUUUUAUUCAAGCUGCCUGGACUAGGAGAUCACGUGGCGAAGCAGCGAAAAGACCCAACAAGAAGUCAUGGAAGCAGAGAACAGACAUGUACAUGAGACCUUUCCUUCUGAAUGUCUUCUUCUCAAGGAAGUUCAUUCACGCCAAAGUUAUGCAUAGACCAACUAGCAAAGUCAUCUCGGUUGCCACCACUAACGCAAGAGAUAUAAGGACGAACAUACCGUCUCUUGUGGAUGACGAAGCGUGCAGACUAAUCGGCAAGCUCAUAGCUGAGCGUUCAAUGGAAGCAGACGUCUACGCUGUGUCCUAUGAGCCAAGAAAGGGAGAGAGAAUUGAAGGGAAGCUAGGGAUUGUUAUCGAUACCAUUAAAGAACAUGGCAUUGUUUUUGUUCCUUGAUUUGGCAUUUUCAUUACCAAGAAUGGUCUGUGUUCUGUUUUGCAUAAUGGUUCAAGAACACAUAGUUGUUACAAAGACAGUGGAGUAUUAAAAGAUGAUUAUAUAAUUAUAUUAUUGUAUGUACACUUUAUUUCUUCUUGUCACAAGACAUGUAUCUAAUCAAUAUCUCUUCAAAAACACUUUCCUCACAAGGAAUAUGAAUCCCUCCUUCAUGUUCAUAACCAAACUCGUCCGCUACUUCAUCCAUCAAAACUUUAAAUUCAGGAUACUGAAGAUACUUGGUCGGUAUAACAAACCUCUGCAUCUCAUCCCCCACGUAGACCGCAAGAUGCCCUCUCGGUACACCGUUUUGGUCUCUGGCUCGUCUCCUACCAUCAGAUAACUCCCCUGAGAGAAGACUGGCCUUUAUGUUCGUUUCAGACCUUCUGUUUCUUCUCUUCUCCUGGUUCUUGAGACGUACGAUGAAAUCUAGCGAUAUCAUUUUUGUCGUAUGAUUCAAAAGAUAGCAAAACCAAACGGAAAAAUUGUGUCCUGAGAAAAAGUUCAAAAAAGGAUUUUAUUUAAUCAAAGUCUAAUGACUUUUUCAUAUGAUAGAUCAUAGAACUGUAAAGAUCUUCUUGAAGUUGUUAUCUUCAUAGAAAAAAAUAAAUAAAGAACAAGCUAGGUUAUAGAAGCCCUAGUCGUUCUUGUUUCUUUAUUUUGUUUGUUUUUAUGAUCUGUCUACCUUUUAUGUCUUUUGGUUUCUUGGACAAUAAGCUACGUAAGAAGACUAUUAUUGGCAACACCAACAAAAGCAUACUCGUCCGUACCAUACAGUUGGUACGAGGUUAUUGUUUGGUGAAUCCAGUUCACAAAUCUAGACCAAAACUUUCGCGUUACCAACUAAAUUUUUUAUUAAAGUAAAAAUAGGCAUCAACCAUCUCGACAGUUCAUAUAUCUUAUGCAAUAACUUUCAUAUUUUUUAAGUCGAUCACAUUAUUUAUGCACAUCAUUUCAUUUAAUGUGCACAAGCGUGUUCAAUAGCUGAAACAGUUUGCUUCACAUCCACUCCCAUAUUGCAGAUAUUGGCAAGCGCUCCUGUAUACUUCAAUCCGUAAUCCAUCGUUGCUCCACAGUGAUUCUUGAAGCUAUUAACCUGCGAUUUUCAUUCGAUAAUAUAUACUAGUUUAAUAGUUGUUGCGUAGAGCACAAGUAAACAAGAUUUGAGAUGUGGUUGGUUGUUACCAGAGUCUUGAAGCAAUCCCAGUCGUCUACAAGAGGUUGUCCUGUUGUUCUUGUGGAAAUUAAGAGAUUUGAGACAUUGGUUUGCUUAAGUGAAAGUUUAAGAAUCUCCACAAUGUUCUGAUCGAUUUGUCUCCUAUGAUUCAUUUCUUCAAACAGCUUCUUCUCAAGUGCUUGUCUUUCAGGUGACUC